GGGUAACCUACCUAUAAGACUGGGAUAACUUCGGGAAACCGGAGCUAAUACCGGAUAACAUUUGGAACCGCAUGGUUCUAAAGUGAAAGAUGGUUUUGCUAUCACUUAUAGAUGGACCCGCGCCGUAUUAGCUAGUUGGUAAGGUAACGGCUUACCAAGGCAACGAUACGUAGCCGACCUGAGAGGGUGAUCGGCCACACUGGAACUGAGACACGGUCCAGACUCCUACGGGAGGCAGCAGUAGGGAAUCUUCCGCAAUGGGCGAAAGCCUGACGGAGCAACGCCGCGUGAGUGAUGAAGGGUUUCGGCUCGUAAAACUCUGUUAUUAGGGAAGAACAAAUGUGUAAGUAACUGUGCACAUCUUGACGGUACCUAAUCAGAAAGCCACGGCUAACUACGUGCCAGCAGCCGCGGUAAUACGUAGGUGGCAAGCGUUAUCCGGAAUUAUUGGGCGUAAAGCGCGCGUAGGCGGUUUCUUAAGUCUGAUGUGAAAGCCCACGGCUCAACCGUGGAGGGUCAUUGGAAACUGGGAAACUUGAGUGCAGAAGAGGAAAGUGGAAUUCCAUGUGUAGCGGUGAAAUGCGCAGAGAUAUGGAGGAACACCAGUGGCGAAGGCGACUUUCUGGUCUGUAACUGACGCUGAUGUGCGAAAGCGUGGGGAUCAAACAGGAUUAGAUACCCUGGUAGUCCACGCCGUAAACGAUGAGUGCUAAGUGUUAGGGGGUUUCCGCCCCUUAGUGCUGCAGCUAACGCAUUAAGCACUCCGCCUGGGGAGUACGACCGCAAGGUUGAAACUCAAAGGAAUUGACGGGGACCCGCACAAGCGGUGGAGCAUGUGGUUUAAUUCGAAGCAACGCGAAGAACCUUACCAAAUCUUGACAUCCUUUGAAAACUCUAGAGAUAGAGCCUUCCCCUUCGGGGGACAAAGUGACAGGUGGUGCAUGGUUGUCGUCAGCUCGUGUCGUGAGAUGUUGGGUUAAGUCCCGCAACGAGCGCAACCCUUAAGCUUAGUUGCCAUCAUUAAGUUGGGCACUCUAGGUUGACUGCCGGUGACAAACCGGAGGAAGGUGGGGAUGACGUCAAAUCAUCAUGCCCCUUAUGAUUUGGGCUACACACGUGCUACAAUGGACAAUACAAAGGGCAGCUAAACCGCGAGGUCAUGCAAAUCCCAUAAAGUUGUUCUCAGUUCGGAUUGUAGUCUGCAACUCGACUACAUGAAGCUGGAAUCGCUAGUAAUCGUAGAUCAGCAUGUUACGGUGAAUAC
rnacentral:rRNA from 1 species